ensembl:lncRNA
AGACUUCCCUGAAGGUGGGUUCAUUAUCUUCGCAGCGGGGUGUGAAAGCCAGUUCAGCUCCUGAACCCCACAAUAGUUCAACAGCCUUUUGAUGCCUGAUCGGUUUCAGAAGACAGAAUCUGGACGACAUGGACAUUUUCUUUCGAGAUUCCUCCAGCAGAGGUGAAGUCAGACGUUGACAGCGACAUCUUAACAGGUCAAUGUGUGCAGUUCACCAGAAGCGACGGGUCCAAAUGACGGGCAAAGUCAUUUACCAAGUCCCAGGUAAGCCUUCCAUGUACUUCAUCAAGUUUGAUGGCGACGUCCACAUCCACGUCUAUAAUCUGAUGGAAAAGAUCUGUUAAGAUACCCACGGGCCUUUGACAACCCCAGUAUCUUUUCCAGUGGAAUUUGUUUUUGCUCUAAAUAUUAAAAUGUGCGAUG